AUAUUGUAAGAUUUUCUUUCUCAAGUGUUUUGAUCUUCGAAUGAUAUACUGUGUACAGGUAUUAAGACAAAUAUUAAAAAUAUUUUGAUAAAUGUUAAUUCACAUUUUUUUAUUUGGCUUCGUUUAUAUUAUUUUGAAUCUGUUUUAAUAGAGCCGCUUGCGGAGGUUAUGCACUAACGCAGUUUAAAAGAGCCGCUUGCGAAGGUAAUGCACUAAUGCAGUUUAACAGAGCCGCUUGCAAAGGUAAUGCACUAAUGCAGUUAAAUAGAGCCGUUUGCGAAGGUAAUGCACUAAUACAGUUUAACAGAGCCGCUUGCAAAGGGUUAUGCACUAAUACAGUUUAAAAGAGCCGCUUGCGAAGUUUAUGCACUAAUGCAGUUUAAUAGAGCCGCUUGCAAAGGUAAUGCAGUUUAACAGAGCCGCUUGCGAAGGUUAUGCACUAAUACAGUUUAAAAGAGUCGCUUGCGAAGGUUAUACACUAAUACAGAUUAACAGAGCUGCUUGCGAAGGCUAUGCACUAAUGCAGUUUAAAAGAGCUGCUUGCGAAGGCAAUGCACUAAUACUGUUUAAUAGAGCCGCUUGCGAAGGUUAUGCACUAAUACAGUUUAAUGCAGCCGGAAGGUUAUGCACUUAUACAGUUUAAUAGAGGCGCUUGCGAAGGUUAUGCACUAAUGCAGUUUAAUAGAGCCGCUUGCGAAGGUCAUGCACUAAUGCAGUUUAAUAGAGCCGCUUGCAAAGGCAAUGCACUAAUACUGUUUAAUAGAGCCGCUUGCGAAGGUUAUGCACUAAUACAGUUUAAAAGGUUAUGCACUAAUACAGAUUUAUAGAGCCGCUUGCGAAGGUUAUGCACUAAUACAGUUUAACACAGCCGCUUGCGAAGGUUAUGCACUAAUACAGUUUAAUAGAGCCGCUUGCGAAGGUUAUGCACUAAUACGGAUUAAAAGAGCCGCUUGCGAAGGUUAUGCACUUAUACUGUUUAAUAGAGCCGCUUGCGAAGGUUAUGCACUGAUACAGUUUAAAAGAGCCGCUUGCGAAGGUUAUGCACUAAUACAGAUUAAAAGAGCCGCUUGCGAAGGUUAUGCACUUAUACUGUUUAAUAGAGCCUUGCGAAGGUUAUGCACUUAUACUGUUUAAUAGAGCCGCUUGCGAAGGUUAUGCACUUAUGCAGAUUAAUAGAGCCCCUUGCGAAGGUUAUGCACUAAUGCAGAUUAAUAGAGCAGCUUGCGAAGUUUAUGUACUUUUACUGUUUAAUAGAGCCGCUUGCGAAGGUUAUGCACUAAUACAGUUUAAAAGAGCCGCUUGCGAAGGUUAUGCACUAAUACAGUUUAAUAGAGGCGCAGAGCCGCUUGCGAAGGUUAUGCACUAAUGCAGUUUAAUAGAGCCGCUUGCGAAGGUUUUGAUAGAGCCGCUUGCGAAGGUUAUGCACUAAUACAGUUUAAUAGAGCCGCUUGCAAAGGUUAUGCACUAAUACUGUUUAAGAGAGCCGCUUGCGAAGGUUAUGCACUAAUACUGUUUAAGAGAGCCGCUUGCGAAGGUUAUGCACUAAUACUGUUUAAUAGAGCCGCUUGCGAAGGUUAUGCACUAAUACUGUUUAAUAGAGCCGCUUGCGAAGGUUAUGCACUAAUAAAGUUUAAUAGAGCCGCUUGCGAAGGUUAUGCACUAAUACAGUUUAACAGAGCCGCUUGGUAGGAACUUUACAUUCU
rnacentral:lncRNA from 1 species